AAACCAUGCAUUGGGCAUUUUCUCAAUAGCUCCUUGAAUCACUCUCAUGCUUCAUAUAAUGUUUCAUCAUUUAAUUUUCUAAAGGAUGUAAUGUCAUUCCUCAACUU
rfam:Gossypium hirsutum cultivar TM-1 chromosome 5, whole genome shotgun sequence